rnacentral:rRNA from 1 species
AUUGAACGCUGGCGGCAGGCCUAACACAUGCAAGUCGAACGCGUCCUUCGGGACGAGUGGCAGACGGGUGAGUAACGCGUGGGAACGUACCCUUUGGUUCGGAACAACUCCGGGAAACUGGAGCUAAUACCGGAUAAGCCCUUCGGGGGAAAGAUUUAUCGCCAGAGGAUCGGCCCGCGUUAGAUUAGCUUGUUGGUGAGGUAAUGGCUCACCAAGGCUACGAUCGAUAGCUGGGCUGAGAGGAUGAUCAGCCACACUGGGACUGAGACACGGCCCAUACUCCUACGGGAGGCAGCAGGGGGGAAUUUUGGACAAGGGGCGAAAGCCUGAUCCAGCCAGGCCGCGUGAGUGAAGAAGGCCUUCGGGUUGUAAAGCUCUUUUGUCCGGAAAGAAAAGCAUCCAGUUAAUACCUGGGUGUCCUGACGGUACCGGAAGAAUAAGCACCGGCUAACUU